AAGUCGUAACAAGGUUUCCGUAGGUGAACCUGCGGAAGGAUCAUUAACACGUUUAAACACGUAUAUACCUCUCUGUGAACUUAUUCGAAAAGUUGGCGGCCAGCGUAGCAAUGGGGGUAGAUGCUUUACUAUGUCGACUUAGGCUCCUGGAUGUCCGGAGAUACUCCUUCGUUGUUCUACCUGCCUAUUCGCCCCUCCUACCUAAUACUAGCUCCUGGAUGUCCGGAGUUUGUCGCGUGUGCGGGGGUUGGGUAUUCUGGCUCAUAUGACUUGAAUCAUAGUAGUUUAUAUUCACCAAUUGUACUAAAUUGUAAUUUGUGAUGGUUGGGUGGGGGAUUAAAAACCCCUCGCGCAGCUCACGUUAAUAAAACACUAUACAACUCUUAGCAACGGAUAUCUCGGUUCU
rnacentral:misc_RNA from 1 species